rnacentral:rRNA from 1 species
GACGAACGCUGGCGGCGUGCCUAAUACAUGCAAGUCGAGCGGACAGAAGGGAGCUUGCUCCCGGAAGUUAGCGGCGGACGGGUGAGUAACACGUGGGCAACCUACCCUGUAGAUCGGGAUAACAUCGAGAAAUCGGUGCUAAUACCGGAUAAUCAUUUGAAGUGCAUGCUUCGAAUGUAAAAGAUGGCUCCGGCUAUCACUACGGGAUGGGCCCGCGGCGCAUUAGCUAGUUGGUAAGGUAUGGCUUACCAAGGCAACGAUGCGUAGCCGACCUGAGAGGGUGAUCGGCCACACUGGGACUGAGACACGGCCCAGACUCCUACGGGAGGCAGCAGUAGGGAAUCUUCCGCAAUGGACGAAAGUCUGACGGAGCAACGCCGCGCGAGUGAUGAAGGUUUUCGGAUCGUAAAGCUCUGUUGUUAGGGAAGAACAAGUGCCGUUUGAAUAAGGCGGCACCUUGACGGUACCUAACCAGAAAGCCACGGCUAACUACGUGCCAGCCGCCGCCGUAAUAC